ACCCGCAUGGCCAAAUGGCUACGGCGUCCCACUCGUAAUGAGGAGAUUCUCGGUUCAAUUCUGAGUGUGGGCA